rnacentral:sRNA from 1 species
CCUAGCAGCACAUCCUCUUUCCUGUGUCAAGGAGCAUCGUCCAGGGAGGUGAGAAGAAGGCAGUCCUCCCUAGAAUUGAAGAACCAGAUGGGCUGGGCAGAUCAAGCACAGCCCUGAGAUCCAACUGUCCCUCCUAUGCGCCUGGGUUUCUUCACUGGACACCAGCGUGAGUCAACUUUCCUAUAAAGCAGAACAAGCACAAGAUUGGACCAUGUUAGAGGAGGAAUGGUGUCAUCUCCACUUCUGGAGAGAUCCCUGUCCCCAUGUUUGGGGGAAGGACCAAGCCUCACUCCCAUGCAGAGAGGAAGCUCUGGCUGUAACUGCACCUGUGGAGAGGUGAGGCCCUGCCCCCUCUACACUGAUGACCAGAGCCUGCAGAGUGGGGCCAAGCUUUCCCUCAGCUGUGUCCUGUCAGGUUCAUCCAGGCCUCAAAGAAUAGACUCUGGACAUUGCCUCUGGCAACGUGAGCUGGACACACACCCAGAUGUAAGGUAGCCCUGCCAAGUAUCUUGGGGUUGCCAGUAGUUCUGGGUGCUCAGUGU